rnacentral:lncRNA from 1 species
GAGACAUUUCCGGCUCAGAAUCAACUACAUCAGCAGGUCAGAAGGUUGAAGCUCUUAUCAUAAAGCUCUACAUGAUGGUAGAAAAAAAUCACUGGGGAUCAUGAAAUGAAUAAAUUACUACUCCAUUUCUAUCUAGAUUACAAGGGUCUCCUUAGGGAAAUAGUUGAGCCAAGAUAACUGAAAUUUAAAUGGCACAGAUUUUACUUCGCUUUGCAAACAACCAUCCACCUUCCCAACUACUAAGCCUGAAAAUUAUAAAAGUAAAUUUUAAUGAACCUGACAAAUGUUGAGAAGAAAAAUAACUCUAUUAAGUAAGCACAACUGAUGCAGCGCUGCAAGUUCAAAAAUAUUAU